UACGUAGGGUGCGAGCGUUGUCCGGAAUUAUUGGGCGUAAAGAGCUCGUAGGCGGUCUGUCGCGUCGAUCGUGAAAACUUGGGGCCUAACCCUGAGCUUGCGGUCGAUACGGGCAUGACUGGAGUUCGGCAGGGGAGACUGGAAUUCCUGGUGUAGCGGUGAAAUGCGCAGAUAUCAGGAGGAACACCGGUGGCGAAGGCGGGUCUCUGGGCCGAUACUGACGCUGAGGAGCGAAAGCGUGGGGAGCGAACAGG
rnacentral:rRNA from 1 species